GGGGGGGGGGGGGGGGGGGGGGGGGGGGGGGGGGGGGGGGGGAGGGGCGGGGGGGGGGGGGGGCGGGGGUUGGGGGCGGAGGGGGGAGUACGGGGUGGGUAGCGUGCCUGUAGGCGUGGGAUAAGUUCGGGACACGGGAGGUAAUGCCGGCGGAUAUUUUGAGCCGAUUGGUGCACAAGAGAAAUACGGUCUUGCUUUCACUUCUGGAGGGAUCCGCGCUGCAUUAGCUAGUUGGUAAGGUAACGCAUUGCCAAGGCAACGAUGCAUAGCGGACCUGAGAGGGUGAUCGGCCACACUGGAACUGAGACACGGUCCAGACUCCUACGGGAGGCAGCAGUAGGGAAUCUUCCGCAAUGGGCGAAAGCCUGACGGAGCAACGCCGCGUGAGUGAUGAAGGUCUUCGGAUCGUAAAACUCUGUUAUUAGGGAAGAACAUAUGUGUAAGUAACUGUGCACAUCUUGACGGUACCUAAUCAGAAAGCCACGGCUAACUACGUG
rnacentral:rRNA from 1 species